GGGGCCGUGCUGCAUGCAAGCAUUUUCUCGCACGCAUUCACGCCAAGGAGUAGGAGGGGAACCCGCCAGAAAUCGUUGGAAAGAUUCCGCGAAACGGAAUUUUCGUCGAUGCCUUUAAUUCUCUACUACACUUCACGAGACCCAGAAAGAACGCAACAACCGCCCCAGAACCGCGACGUUCCUCUCUACCGCCCCGCCGCCCCCCGCUCCGCUCGAGCGCCAAGACCCAUUUUUCUUCUUCGAUACGGAAACUCCCAGCCGGAGGCCGCGACGUGGACGAGCUCACUGGUCCUCCGCCGCCGCCUCGCCGAUGUCUUCUUCAUCGUCGAUCCUCAUGAAUUAUCCCCUCGCUUCCGCUCUGGUCGCGUUCGCGAUCUCUCAGUUCACUAAGCUCUUCCUCUCCUGGUAUAAAGAGAGACGACUGGAUCCCAGGCAACUCGUUGCAUCAGGUGGAAUGCCAUCAUCUCACUCUGCAACUGUCACUGCCCUAGCUGUGGCCACUGGAUUUCAAGAAGGCCUGGGAGGAUCACAGUUUGCAAUCGCACUAAUCUUAGCAUGCAUCGUGAUGUAUGAUGCAACUGGCGUAAGAUUGCAUGCGGGUCGUCAAGCAGAGGUUUUAAAUCAAAUCGUGUAUGGACUUCCUGCCGAACAUCCUCUGGCUGAGAGCAGGCCAUUACGCGAACUCUUAGGCCAUACACCUCCUCAGGUUAUUGCUGGCGGAUUGCUUGGGAUUGUCACAGCAGCUGUUGGUCAUUUGAUCAUUGUUACUUUUAGCUGAAAUUGAUACAGAGGUAGAAUUGCGGGAGUUCAUUCUCGCAUGUGGUUAUCCUGUAAAGCCCCAUUGAUCGGUUCAGACUCAGUGACAAAGACUUGCGGAUAGGUUAAGCACACUGUUGACAUCGACCAGACGGGACCUAAGAACAAUUUCGCCCCAGGACAAGUCUCAGUCGCGGGUGGGUCCGGUUGCUCUGAGGGAGCCAACACGGCUGCAUGUGAUUUUAUUGCCCCAACAGUUUUCUUCUUCAUUUCUAUUCAAUCCACUGCGAUCACUCGCUGUCCAAUUCGUACCUCCAUGUCAUAUACAGUCCAAGGAGUGAAGUGAGAGCGUCCAAACUUGGUCAUCAGUCGACCCCAUUUUUGUACCAACUAGACGGGCCCUCGCCCUCGUCCACGUGAUUGGUUCAGAGUCCCCUCAUCGACAUUCCGAUCCCCACAUCCACCCAGGCCCCACGCCCGACUCC